UAGAGUCCUGGACUGAAUCUUGAUCCCAGUUUCUAUUUAUGAAGAGAUUAGAUGCUUUCUCUGCGAGAGUGUGAAUUUCCUUUCAGUGUUGAAAUUUCCAAAGCUUAUUGAUCAGAUAGGCUGACAACCAUUGUGUCCUUAGUUUGUAUGCAAGUGGCUAGGUGGGAGAUGCCAGAGAGUAGUGGUGGUAACUGUUUGUCAGGUUGGAGGCCGGUGACUAGUGGUGUGCCUCAGGGAUCUGUACUGGGUCCAAUGCUGUUUGUCACAUACAUUAAUAAUCUGGAUGAUGGGCUGGUAAAUUGGAUUAGUAAGUAUGCAGAUGAUACUAAGGUAGGAGGCGUUGUGGAUAAUGAAGUAGGUUUUCAAAGCUUGCAGAGAGAUUUAGGCCAGUUAGAAGAGUGGGCUGAAAGAUGGCAGAUGGAGUUUAAUGCUGAUAAGUGUGAGGUGCUACAUUUUGGUAGGGAUAAUCCAAAUAGGACAUACAUGGUAAAUGGUAGGGCAUUGAAGAAUGCAGUAGAACAGAGUGAUCUAGGAAUAAUGGUGCAUAGUUCCCUGAAGGUGGAAUCUCACGUGGAUAGGGUGGUGAAGAAAGCUUUUGGUAUGCUGGCCCUUAUAAAUCAGAGCAUUGAGUAUAGGAGUUGGGAUGUAAUGUUAAAAUUGUACAAGGCAUUGGUAAGGCCGAAUUUGGAGUAUUGUGUACAGUUCUGGUCACUGAAUUAUAGGAAAGAUAUCAACAAAAUAGAGAGAGUACAGAGAAGAUUUACCAGAAUGUUACUUGGCUUUCAGCACCUAAGUUACAGGUCUUUGAACAAGUUAGGUCUUUAUUCUUUGGAGCAUAGAAGGUUGAGGGGGGACUUGAUAGAGGUAUUUAAAAUAAUGAGAGGGAUAGAUCGAGUUGAUGUGGAUAGGCUUUUUCCAUUGAGAGUAGGGAGAUUCAAACAAGAGGUCAUGAUUUGAGAGUUAGGGGGCAAAAGUUUAAGGGUAACCCGAGGGGGAAUUUCUUUACUCAGAGAGUGGUAGCUGUGUUGAAUGAGCUUCCAGUAGAAGUGGUAGAGGCAGGUUCAGUAUUGUCAUUUAAAGUAAAAUUAGAUAGGUAUAUGGAUAGGAAAGGAAUGGAGGGUUAUGGGCUGAGUGUGGGUCAGUGGGACUAGGUGAGUGUAAGUGUCGGCAUGGACUAGAAGGGCCGAGAUGGCCUGUUUCCAUGCUGUAAUUGUUAUAUGGUUAUAUGGUUAAUCUAGGGUUAACAUGGUUGAUGGUAGACAUUGAUUCAGUGGGCUGAAAAAUCUCUUUCCAUGUUGUAUGUCACUGACUUCAAAUGAAUGUUUUUGGAAAUGUAUCUGAAAACUCCUUGACAUUCACCAGGGACACCAGAUGAACCUAGGAUCCAAAGCCUUUCUUACCUUCUCACACUUCUUGGCUGCUGUAGGCAAGUGACAUCCUAAAGAUGUUUCAUUGUAUUUUAAAUGCAUUCUUAAAAACACAAAAUUGGAUGAAUUAUUUCCAUGCUUCCUUCUUCAACAUCUGCCCAUGCUUUAUAGUUUAAUUCUUUGUAGUUUUUAGAAUAUAAGCUGAAAGAAAUUGGAACACAAAUAGAAAAUGUUGGAAAAACAAAGUAGAAACAUAAAACAGAAAACAAAAUAACAGAAUACUGGCAAUACUGAGCUAUUCAGAAAAUGGAAAGAUUUUGUUCAUAUUUCCAAUGAGGAGGUUGUUCAUUCCAUCAAGCCUAUGCUGGUUCUUAGGUUGAUCUUAUCAAUUCAAUUCAUCUACUAAUCUCCUUGUAAACUAUUGUCUCGCACAUGCUAAUCAACAUCUUCCCCACAGGCCACUCCUUCCUCGCUCACCAGUCACCUACAAUGCAGUCACUAUUUAAUCUAUAAACAAUUAUGUCUUUGCAAUGUGGGGAAGUAUUGAAGCACACCACUCAGUCACGAGGAGAACACGUAAACUUCACAUUGACAGCAUCGACCGUCAGGAUUGAACCUUGGAGGAACAAUGGCCCAGCUAGAUGAGUUGUUGCCUGAUCCUAGAUUCUGAAAAUGUGGAGUUUUCAUGCACUCCUUGUGACAAUGCCAGUAUCCUCCAGAUACUCUGGUUUCCUCCCUUAACCAAAAAAUGUACAGCCUGGUAGGUUAAUUGGCCACUGUAUUGUGUCUCCAGUAUCUAGGUGAAUAGUAGGAUUUGAUGGGGAGAAGAUUGGAAUGUGGGGGAGGGAUAGAAUAGGUUACAGUAGUAUUAGUGUAAAAAUAGGUGUUUGGUGGUUGUCUAGAUUUGUUUGGCCAGAGAGUUUGCUUUAGUACAGUAUCGCUCUAUGAGAUGAGAGGUACCUGCACCACCCACAGCACCACGCUGUCACCCUAUUUGUGAAAGAUGUUUCUCUCAAAAGUUACAUACACAAAAUGCUGGAACAACAGGUCAGGCAGCCUCUCCUCAGAUCUCAUAAAGACAAGGAAGUCUGCAGACACUGGAAAUCCAAAGCAGCACAAACAAAAUGUCAGAGGUACUUUGCAGUAUCUUUGCAAAUGAAUGAACAGUUGAUGUUUUGGGGUGAGACCCUUCUUCAGGACUGAGAAGGAAGAGGGCGAAUGCCUGAAUAAAAAGGUAGGGGGAGGGGAAGGAUGCUAUCUGGAAGGUGAGAGGUGAAGCCAGGUUGGUGGGAAAGGUCAAGGACUGGAAAGAAGGAAUCUGAUGGGACAGGAGAGAGGACCAUAGGAGAUAGGGAAGGAGGAGGGGACUCAGGGUAAGUGAGGAAAGGUAAAAGAUCAGAGUAGGAAAUAAAGGAAGAGUGGCAGUUGGGAUUUGUUCACCUGAAGAAGAAAUCGAUAUUCAUGCCAUCAGAUUGGAGGCUACUCAGACAGAAUAUAAGAUGUUGUUCUUCCACCGAGAGUGGACUCAACUUGGUGCAAGAGGAGGCCAUGGAUUGACAUGUCAGAACAGGAUUGGGAAUUAAAAUUAAAAUGUUUGGCCACCAGGAAGUUCUGCUUGUGGUGGAUGCACAGUAUCUCAAAAGACAAAACGAAAUGAAGACAUUGGAGGCAAAAGCAGAAAAAAAGGAAAAGGAACCCAAAGAAGGAGUCUUGUUGAACAGAGAACAAGGGAAAGUGGCAGAAAUGAAAGUAAAGUCUAUGACAAAGACUGGCAGGAAAUAUGGCCUGCUGAGUCCCUCCAGCAUUCUGUGUGUGUGCCGUUUGAUUUCCAGCGGCUGCAGGUGUUCUCAUCGGAGUAGGGUAAAAAGUGGAUUUACCCGGGUAUGUAAGCUUCAUCAGUACUGGCAAAGUUAACAGUGCCCUUCAUCCAUAUCUCCAUUUUGCUGCAAUGUGAUUGGAAUCAUCUACAACAGCUUUGUAGAUGUCAAUUGGUUGUUUUAAAAUCAAUUUCUCAAAUUAAGUUUAGAGAGGGAGCAUGACAACUGGUUAAAAGUGGGUGUUGGAAGAAAAAUGUAAGGCCUUUUGAUAAAGUUCAUGCUAGUUAAAGACUGUUGUAAAUCACUAAUGAAUUGACAUCAAGUUGUCAAGACAGGUGGAUGGAUUCUUAUAAAUUACUGUAAAUGAAAGUAAUUAUGAAACACUGUCAUUAGUCCAACUAUAUAAUGAGCCUAGAGUAAUUUACAAGCAGAUCAAAUCUGUUAAUUUCCUAUUAAUUAUAAAUUCUAUAUAAGUUAUAAAUGAUGAACCCUGCAGAUUAGCUCCCUGGUGAUCAGAUUUUCUAGGAAAUGCAAAGUUCCAAGGUUUCACCUCCACCUCAAAUCUUCCUUUUAAAAUAACUUUUCAGGCCACCGACGAUGACCAGUGAAUCAGUCUGAUUGUGGAGGAUUCCUUGAAGCAAAGAAUUGUUUUAGAGAUUGAAAGUGAACUUCUAACAAACGUAAUAAAAAUCAAUUCAGUUUGCUUGUGAUUAUAUGUUGGAUUUACCACCUUGUAUCAGAACGAGAUCAUCCCACAUUCAUCAGUUUAAAAAAAAGGUGAAGGUCAGAUUUCAGGGAAUUUUUGUUAUUUAUACACUUUUAGGUUCUGGGCAUAACGAGAAGGUCCAUUGUCAAUGUGAACGAUGUCAGAGGGCACUUAAGUUUAAGUCACACUGGUGAUUUUGAAGUGACAUUGAAGUCAUCUCAGGUGAGGUUUCCUCUCCUGAAGAACAUUAGGAAAUCUAGAUCAUCAUUAUUAAAGAUUGAUUUGCUUCAAUUACCAAAUGUUAAUGGAAUUUGUCUCGCUUAGCUGCUAUGAUGAUUUCUGAAUCAGGUUUCUGGAUUACUGUUCCAACAAUUUCAGCAUCAUACUCUGUCAUACUUGGUCAUACCCUAAUAUUCGAUAACUUGUCAUUCAGCUAUUGGAGGACAUGAUGAGAAGCAGUAGAUAAAAAUCAAAGUUUGAAACAAAAUAACCAGACUCACAGAGAUUGCCAAUACUUCAACAAAGUAAGUUCACAGAUCCUGUUAAAACUCUGCACUGCUGAAAGAUGUCCCUGAGUCACAAAAGCUGAGCUGAUAUAUAUAAAUCACUGUCAAAGCUGUCUUGUUGCAUAAAACUGUGGUUAUCAUUUAGUUACCAUUUCCUUGAUUACAAAUCUUACAUUCCUUGGAUCUCUACAACAUAAUUUAUUUUGUUCAUCUCAGAUAAAAAUCUGAAAUAAUUAUCUGACUCCUGGUGCCGUUUCAUCAUGAGGCUACAUAAAGGUUAGCUGGUUAUAGGACAAUGUAGGCUCUUUUCUGUUUCGUUUCCAUGGCAGCUUUUAUUAUUUCCAGGUUUUAAUGUGACCAGUUAAUAAAAUUUAAGUCAGUGCUGAUAUCAUUGGCAAACAAAUACAUGCAAAUACAAUUGGUUCUUUUUGGGUUUGGCUAGGGUUACUCACCUCAAACAAUUCACUGGCAGAAGGAAUGAUCUCCAGAACAGCCUCGCAUUUUGGUAGUUUUGGUAUUCUUUCAGAAUCAAUGUCAGCUAUCAGAAUAAUAAAGACAAAAACAUUAAUCAACCCUACUGUUAGUUUGCAGUUUGAUGUUGAUUUCUAUGUUCAGCUACAACCUGUUUAAACAAUGGAACAGGCCCCAGGGGGUGAGAGGUAAUCUUGCUCCUAAUACAUAGCUUUGCAGGCACCAUCUAGCCCGUCUUUGAAAUGGUGUUGGAAAUGAAUCAUGUAGUUGUUCUUCUCCUCUUUUUCAGCUGUCCAUCGACUGAGGCCUGGGCAGGGUUGUAUGGAAGACCAACAGUUGCCCAUGCUGCAAGUCUCCCCUCUCCACGCCUCCGAUGUUGUCCAAGACUAGUUGUUACAAUACAGAAGGAUACUUGGACCAAUAAAUCUGUGCCAACUCCUAAAGCAAUUAUUCUGAACACUCCAUUCCACUGAUUUCUUUCCCCAUUGCCUUGGAAAUUAUUUUCCCUCAGUUAUUUUUCCAAAUCCUAUUUGACAGGCCAGAUUAACUCCGUUUUCAUCAUCGUUACAAAUAGUUCCUUUGUUCCAUCCAGUUAAAUCCUCUCUCUAAAACUUGAAAUCCAUCUCUUGUUCUUAAACUGACCACAUAUAUGAAGAGCUGACCUCCAUUGUCCCACCAUAAUCCAGUACUCCUCCAUCAAACCUUUUAACUUUCUUUGCUUCAAGAAGUAUUUCCCAAAGACGCUAGUAGAGCUGCUGCACCCAGCUCAGGUUAAAUUCUUUUUUUUUGUAAUUUAUUUUUUUAUUGAAGUUCAUCAUCAAACAAACAUUUCCAUAAGAUGUAUUUCAGACAUUGUACAUAUAUAUCAUAUAAUCAUAUAUGUCACAAAUCUCCACAUAGUAUUUAUCUGAGGUAUACAGAUAUACAGUAUACAGAUAAAGAGUGGAGAGAAAAAACAAGCAAAAGGAAAAAAAAAACUAUGUACAAAUAGGGACUGAUCUUUUUUUUACAAAAUAUUCAUUGAUUUGUGAGAAUAAAAUCAGGCCUAUGAGGCAUUAUGUAGUUAAACCAUUUUCCCAGUAUGAAUCAAAUUGUUCCAGCUUAUGAUUAACAGAUGCUGUUGUCUUCUCCAUUUUGUAAAUGUCCGCUGUAAUUUCCAUCAGGUUAAAUUCCAGUCUCUGGUGCUGUCUACCCAGAGCUGGCACAUACUCCCUGAGACUGCAAAGACUUCCUCCUGGCAUUUCGGUUUGUCCCUGCAUCUCAAAGCACUGGGUGGUCAACUAAUUGAACACAAUGUGUAGAAGAACAUAAGCAGCAGUUGAUGCGAAUGUGGGAAAUUGCAAGUGUGCGUGUACAACUGGGUACCUAUUUCUGUGCUGCAUCUUUCUUCAAGUCGAUGACUCUGUUCCACAUUCUAAUUUUCCAGCAGCAAGUCAUCAUCCCUGGAACCUUUCUAGUAAUUUUUUCACACUCUCAUGACUAUAGGUAGUUAGCAGGAUCACAAUCAAACAUUGUAAUCCGUUUCUUCAGAAAAGUGCUGAUUGGUUUAUAUAAUUACCACGAGUGCACAUACAUAUAGAGUCUAGUAAAAGUUUUUUUAUUAGAGGCAAACAAUCAGCUUCUUUGGUUUAAGACUGUAUGAUGGGUAAGAAAAAUUGAGCUAAGUGAUUAUAAUCCCACCAGAAAUAUUAAAGAUAAAGAUUUUAUUAAAGAUAUAAAAACAGGUAUCAUAUCAAAUCUGUCUUUAGACAUGAGAGAAUAUAUUUUCAGCAGCACUGAGAAAUGUCUUGUUUUCCAUAAAUGGUACAGUUUGUGAAUCUUGUUAACCAACUGUUAACAAGAGAUAAUUUUUAAUCCAUUGUGGGCAUAUUUGUUAAACUGGCAUUUGGCUAGGAAUCUACACAGCUUUCAUGGGAGGUAUAAAACAGGUUUAAUAAACUGGAGGUUUAUCAAUAAAGAAUGUUUCUCGGUAACCGCUUAUUUCAUAUGUUUCCAUGAUAUCAUUAUUAUUCAAAUUAUAGUUUGCAUCAAAAACUGGUGCCAAGGUGAAAACUAUUCAUGCAUAUGCAUCUUAUCCCCACAAAAACAGAAAAAAACAUUGAUACCACUGUAAAUUUUCAAAUUGUAAUAUAUAAUUUUAACCAAUUAUAAUUUAAUGUUUGUAUCUGAAUUAUACAGUUACUGGACUCCAGAAUGUUUGCUACUUUGGUGCAUUAAUAUUUGUAAGCAAUCUUGAUUAGAAAACAGAGCUGGGGAGGAGAUUAUAUCAUCCAUCUCUCUGCAAUAUACAAUUAAUACAAAGCUAUCUUCACAAUCCAGCGAUGUAAUAUGCAUCAAAGCAAAACACAUUAUUGAAAUAGAAAUUAUAUUGCUGCAUUGCAUUUUUACAGGGCAUUGCUUUCCAGAGAACAUUUCAGGAGUGAAAUUAUCUGUUAUCAAGGAAUGUAUACAUUCACUCACCCAUUAAGAUGCUGAAUGACCCAUCGAGAGCUUCUUGUCUUUUCUGUUGCUCUCCACACCUGCGGAAUUUUGCCUGUUACAGAAGUCAUACCAGUGCUGCACAGGGAGGAUGUGCGGUUACUCAAAAUGAGAACAGGAAAACUCUCUCUAAUAUGUAACUUCCUGUUUUGGAGCCGAUGGCAAAUUUGGAUAAUUGCACUCAAUGCUGACAAGUGGCAUCAGCUAAUGAGGGAUAUAAAGCUUGGCAAAAUCUAAAAACUGUUCCCAGUACAUGAACCUGAUUAAUAAUUGAAGUAGUUGAAUACUUUAUUCCUGUCUUAGUUUCUGAUAUAACUCUGUCUGCAUGUUCUCAAUUUUUUUACAGUUGAUGUUCAUCUCGCUGUCAUUCCAUGCUUUAGUCAAUGAAUUUUAAAGUUGCUUUCUGUCACAAUCUACAGACUUACUGUUAGCAGUGGAACAUUAGCCACUGGUACAGUUUAUUAACUCCGUCCUAUUGCAAUACUUAUGGCAUUCAUCACUGCUCUACACAGUACAUACACCACUUACGUUGGCUAAUAAUAAUGGUAAGACAAUAUGACGUGGCUUAAGUAUUGCUGAAACUUCUCUCUGAGUCCCCUCCUCCUUCCUUUUCUCCUAUGGUCCACUCUUCUCUAUCAGAUUCCUUCUUCUCCAGCGCUUGAACUUUCCCACCCACUUGGGUUUACCCAUUGCCUUCCAGCUAGUCUAUUUCCCCUUCCCACUUUUUUUACCCUAGUGUUAUCUCUCUUCCCUCUCAGUCCUGAAGAAGGGUCUCAGCCAGAAACUUCGAUUGUUUUCCAUAGAUGCUGCCUGACCUGCUGAGUUCUUCCAACAUUUUCUGGGUGUUGUUUUUUGUCUGAAGCUACUGAUCUCUGGGGAAUUUCAUGUAUUUAUUGUUUAAGCAGCAUCCAUUGAGUGGCAGAUUUGUGGGGAAAAAUACCUUGCUGAUGGGAGAGAUCAGAGAGAAGGGCAAGACUGGCUCAAGCUGACAGGAAGGCAGCAGCAACACAAAUAACCACACGUUACAAUAAUGGUGUGCAGAAGAGCAUCUCUGAAUGCACAACAUGUUGAACCUUGAAGCGGUUGGGCUACAGCAUCAGAAGAUCAUGAACAUUCACUCAGUGGACAGAUUAUUAGGUACAGGAGUUAAUUAAUAAAGAGGCCACUGAGAGUAGAGGGCAAAGGUUAAGGGUGAAAGGUGAAAGGGAACAUGAAGGGGAACUUGACUCAGGAGGUGGCGAGAGAGUGGAACAAGCUGCCAGUGGAAAUGGUGGAUUCAGGUUCUAUUUCAGCAUUUAAGAGAAAUUUGGACAGAUAAAUUGAUGGGAAGGAUAUGGAGGAUUAUGGUUCAGGUGCAGUUCGAUGAGAUUUGGUGGGAUAAUAGUUUGACACUGACUAGAUGGACUGAAAGGACUGUUGCUAUGCUGUAGUGCUCUAUGCCUCUCUGCUGCAGCCUUUUCUGGGAACUGAGCUCUCAGCUAACUCUUCCCAUUAUCAAACUAUGAAAUGCAACUUGCAAUGUUCUUGACAGAAGGGCCAUGGUCAAUCUGUGUUGGCAGGAACAUCCUGCGCUCCACUGAAUUGAGCAGAGGCGCUCCCCAGGGCUUCGUGCUCAGCCCGCUGCUGACACACGACUGCAAUGCUAAAUCCAGUUCAAACUGAAUAAUCAAGUUUGCUGAUGCCACAACAGUGGUUGGCCUCAUCACCAAUGAUGACGAGACAGUGUACUGAGAGGUAGAGCAGCUGGUAGAACUGUGUGAGCACAGCAGCUUGAGUCUCUAUGUGAACAAGACCAAUGAGAUGCUUGUGAACAUUAAGAUUGUGCAGGCUGACUACUCCUCACUCCACAUACUCAGCUCCUCCACGGAGAGAUCUAAGUGCACCAUAUUUCUGGGAGUGCACAUAACCUAUGAUCUCUCGUGGUCCCUCAACACCACACUUUGGUCAAGAAAGCACAACAGCUUUCUCCACUUCCUCAUGAGAUUGAGGCAAGUGAGGCUCCUCUCCCCACCCCUCCAUUUAACUAGUGUAUACAGGGGCACCAUUGAGAAUGUCCUGACCAGAUGCAUCACCAUCUGGCCUGGCAAUUACAAGUCAUCUGAUAAGUACCUAAUAAUGAGUGCAAGGAUCAUAGGCAUCUCUCUUUCACACAUUAGAGAUAGCCAUUAGGAGUGCUGCAUGCACAGGGCCCUUAGCAUUGUCAGUGAUCCCUCCCAUCCAUCCGACAAUCCCUUUGGCCCCCUAACAACAGGCAUAAAGUUCUGUCGCAUUAGGACAAGUUAGGAUGGGAAACAGCUUCUUUCCCAAGCAGUGAGACUACUGAACUCCCUGUCACCAUGCAGGUCUCAUCAAAUAGGAAGCGCCAGUAGCAUUAUACUGUUUACUUUUUAAGUUGUAUCAUAUAUGCAUUUUACUAUUUGUAAUUUAUUUUUGGUAUACUGUAUUACUUUAUAUGUUAUGUGUGUGAGUUAUAUGUACAGUGUUAUGCACCUUAGUCUGGAGGGACUUUGUUUUGUUUAACAGUAUACAUGUAUACAGGUGAAUGACAAUAAACUUGAACUUGAAACACUCA